rnacentral:snRNA from 1 species
GGAUGUGAGGGCGAUCUGGCUGCAACAUCUGUCACCCCACUGAUCGCCAGGGUUGAUUCGGCUGAUCUGGCUAGCUAGGCUCCAUGUGCGUCCCUCCCGAAGCUGCACGCUCGGUCGAAGAGGACGACCAUCCCCCAUAGAGGAGGACCGGUCUUGGGUCAAGGGUAUACGAGUAGCUGCACUCCCCUGCUAGAACCUCCAAACAAGCUCUCAAGGUCCACAGUUCCACUUCUGACUUUUUUGUUUUGUUUUGUCUUAGUGCUUAAUUGGAGAUAAAAAAAAAAUCUCACAGACUAUCCUGCUUGGGCUGGCUUC